UACGGAGGGGGCUAGCGUUGUUCGGAUUUACUGGGCGUAAAGCGCACGUAGGCGGACUGUUAAGUCGGGGGUGAAAUCCUGGGGCUCAACCUCAGAAUUGCCUCCGAUACUGGCAGUCUCGAGUGCGGGAGAGGUGAGUGGAAUUCCCAGUGUAGAGGUGAAAUUCGUAGAUAUUGGGAAGAACACCAGUGGCGAAGGCGGCUCACUGGCCCGUAACUGACGCUGAGGUGCGAAAGCGUGGGGAGCAAACAGG
rnacentral:rRNA from 1 species